AUUUGAAAUCUGGCUUCGGCCCGAGUUGUAAUUUGCAGAGGAAGCUUUGGGCGCGGCACCGACUGAGUCCCCUGGAACGGGGCGCCAUAGAGGGUGAGAGCCCCGUAUAGUCGGACGCUAAGCCUGUGUAAAGCUCCUUCGACGAGUCGAGUAGUUUGGGAAUGCUGCUCAAAAUGGGAGGUAAAUUUCUUCUAAAGCUAAAUACCGGCCAGAGACCGAUAGCGCACAAGUAGAGUGAUCGAAAGAUGAAAAGCACUUUGAAAAGAGGGUUAAAUAGCACGUGAAAUUGUUGAAAGGGAAGCGCUUGUGACCAGACUUGCGCCUGGCUGAUCAUCCGGUGUUCUCACCGGUGCACUCUGCCAGGCUCAGGCCAGCAUCGGUUCUCGCGGGGGGAUAAAGGCCCUGGGAACGUAGCUCCUCCGGGAGUGUUAUAGCCCAGGGUGCAAUGCCCUCGCGGGGACCGAGGUUCGCGCAUCUGCAAGGAUGCUGGCGUAAUGGUCAUCANCGACNCGUCUUGAAACACGGACCAAGGAGUCAAGGUUUUGCGCGAGUGUUUGGGUGUAAAACCCGCACGCGUAAUGAAAGUGAACNUAAGUGAGAGCUUCNGCGCAUCAUC
rnacentral:rRNA from 1 species